rnacentral:rRNA from 1 species
ACUUUUUGGAGAGUUUGAUCCUGGCUCAGGACGAACGCUGGCGGCGUGCCUAAUACAUGCAAGUCGAGCGCAUUGAAGGGAGCUUGCUCCCGGAUGUGAGCGGCGGAUGGGUGAGUAACACGUGGGUAACCUGCCUGUCAGAUUGGGAUAACUGUGGGAAA